rnacentral:rRNA from 1 species
AACGAACGCUGGCGGCGUGCCUAACACAUGCAAGUCGAACGAGAAAGGGCUUCGGCUCCGAGUAAAGUGGCGCACGGGUGAGUAACACGUAGGUAACCUGCCUCUAAGAUUGGGAUAACAUGUCGAAAGACGUGCUAAUACCGAAUAAGACCACGGCUUCCUCGGAAGCAGGGGUCAAAGAUAGCCUCUACUUGUAAGCUAUCACUUAGAGAUGGGCCUGCGUACCANAGCUAGUUGGGUAUAAGUGGCCUACCAAGGCAAAGAUGGUUAGCUGGUCUGAGAGGAUGAUCAGCCACACUGGAACUGAGACACGGUCCAGACUCCUACGGGAGGCAGCAGU